AUGCAGAGAGGACAGGAGUGUGUGAAGAACAGUACUGGAGAGUAAAGAGGAGAAUAGACAGGCCAAGGGGUACAGGAGCAACAAAGCAGGCAAUAGGUAAAGGAGGGAUUUUAUGCUACCCUGAACUGUGUGUUCAUGACACUAUGGAAGCACUGUGCUACCAAAAGAAGGGGGCCAAGGGAAGGUCCACACAGGUAGCUCCUGCAUCAUAAAGAUGCAGACAAGAUGCCUAGAGACAAAACGGUGCUUGUGCCCUGCAGCAGUGCUGGAUCAAAGCCCUCGUUCCUGGGAAGCAGGUCUGACCUACACACAAGCCAGCAGGGAAGAGUGGCCCAGCCCACUGCAGCGGCCUAGCCUGGCCAUUUCACACUGGGAACAGCAGAGAGCCAGAGUGAAAGUCAACCAUUCAGAGAGGCGAAGGAAGGGCUACAGCAGAACCCCUUUGAAUCCUCACAUACAGGAUGCUCGGCACCAGCCAUUAGCACAGCUGCAUACUGCUCUGUGGGGAGCGUUUGCCACUCGCUAAGUCGGGUGUUUCUCUGCUGAGUGGCAAGAGGGACAGUACUUAUCUCUAUUAACCUCUGACCUUGCACAGCUCACAUCUGCAAACUAUCCCGCACCGACAUGAUAGCGGAGAGGCAGGUAUUCUUUUCUCUUUUGUCUGCCCUGAGACGUGCUCCCCAGGGCCACCCAGCUGAAUCCUUGGGAAAACCUCCAGUCUGUGGGGAGUUUUCUGCAGACUGAUUUUUCUUGGCAGAGCGUAGAGCUGUCAUUCAAAGCUGGGCCCUGCGGGAGGCUGGAAGACGAUGCUUCAAGAUGCUGCUGCUUGGAGGAAACAAUACAUUGCCAUUUUGAGAUAAAUAAAAAUUCCUGUGUGGCUGUAA